AAAAGUCCAAAAGGUUCAAAAACAUUUUCUUGCUAUUGUCACUUUACUUUAGUCAGACUAGUGUAGACGGAUAAUAGUGGAACAUAUUGGUGACAUUCACGUAUUAGAUGUUGUUUCAGUAUUGUGCACUCUUCUUCAGAACCUGAGAAAUAUACAAGGGAGGUUAAGAGUUGGAAGCAAGGAGAGACUGACUUUCUCUGGGCAGCUUCAGCUGAACCCUACGCAUUCAACUCACCAGGCAAUAAAAGUUAAAGGCAACUUUUUCCAUCAGCUCCAGGUAAACAAGCUUCUCUCUCUAUCCUCAGAAAAGUGUUUAGGUGUUAAACAAUGUCUGGUUAAAGAGCUGUGUUUGUGUGCAUGAUGCACUGUACGGUGACCGCAGUCACCAGUGCAGUAAAUGAUGUACGUCUGCUGCUGACAGUGAACAGUGUGUUUUACAGUGACAAGGCCAACGUUAUGACCGGUUAAUCUGUUAUUGCUUUUACAGCUGCAGCUCCCCUCCUCUGCUUUAAUAGAGGGAGAUGUACUUUGGACCCCAAAAAACAACAAUAACUUUGAUUACCAGGCCAAAGGGAAACUAAGAAUAGAGCGGCAAGAGUGCCAGCUUUCUGUGCAGCUGAAUGGAACAUCAGGCAGAGUUGGUCUGUAUUCAUCUCUUCGUCACCCCUUCAAAUCAAAGAUUCCCAAAACAUUAGAGGCGUCUGCAGACAUGUCGAUGGUGACUGGCAAAGGGAGCAGCUCGGUGCGUGUGAGGGCUGAUGGGAAGGACAAGCUGAAGCUGAAUGCGGACAUGUCCCACUCCAUGCAGAAGGGAGACAGAGGUGUAGGGCUGAGGCUGAACUUAUCCCAGAGCCUGCUACCUACAGCCACGGAUCUACAUGUAAACAUAGCAGGGAACGUGUCCUCAGACAGUGUCUUUCUACGUGGCUCCUUCACGCAAGGAAUGCAGGCUCUGCUGGCCCAGCUCAAGGGGUCUUUGAAACACUCACAGGGGAUCCAGAUGGCUGUGACAGGGGACUUGAGGCAUACCGUGACCAGCCUAGAUUUCCUGCCUUCAGUCCUCGGGUUGGAUGGGGCAUUGGGGCAGUCUGACAGUUUAAUCGAAGGACAGCUGAGAGUUAGAUUGAUGGAGACAGUGUACAGCGUGGAGAUGCGACACCAACGAGAUCCCGGAGAAGCUUUGGAAGGAGAUGAUGAAGAAGGGAUGAUGGGAAAGGGGUCCCACAGGGCCCACGACUGGCUGUGUGUUUGGUCCGGGGAGGAGCAUUUGUGUGUGAAUGCGAGCCGCCAGCGGGGGAGUCGAGGGACAGGAGAGAUCUACACACGACUUUCUCACUCUUUCCAAGUGCUCAGAGCCACAGGUGUACCUCCCAACAGUAGUGUUGAGGUUAAAUGGGCUCAGAAAGGUGAUGGAUUGUCAGUCCUGGGAGAGCUGCAGGUUGGACUUGAACAUCUUAGAGCUGAGUUUCAUGGAGGCAGGACAGACCACGCCAACCCCCAGUGGGUAUUCUCCUCUAGGCUGCAGCACCAAGUGGAAGCCCUGCUUAAAAGAGGCCUGACACCCUCCUUUGAGGCUAAAGCGCAUUACCAGUUAGAAACAGAAGGACUGGACAUGGGCUUGGUCCUUUACAUGCAAGAUGUGAGAGCUGCUGACAUCCUUUUAAAAGUUGGAUCAAGAAAUACAACAACUAUUUUGGUAGUGUCUCUAUGGCAACAGAUGAAGCUGCUCCAAGGACUCGUACCCACUUACUUACAGAUGAACUGCACAGGGGACGUCACCACAGACCGGCUCUCCGCUCACUGCUAUGGAAAUGUGGCAGACAGCCCCGUGGAGGCUCUCCUGCCUCCACAGACAUCAUUCAACGUCUCCAUCACUCGGUCUGGCUGUUCCACAGAUCUCAGCACUGUCCUGCAGGCUGAAGGAGCACAGAAAGGCAGUCUAAACCUGUCUCUAACUUGUGAUCCUCAGCUUAGUCUCCGGGCAUCUGUACAGCACUCUAUUGAGCCAAUAAAGAAGCUGCAGUUUCCUACCCACGGAGAGCUAUUCCUAAACGUCUCAACUGCCCUUCUGCCUGGUGUGGAGGUCGGCCUGGAGGUCGGACGUUGUUUUUUUAGGGGUAACGUAGGGAAAGUCAAGGCUUCACAGACAGAGACUGAGCAGACUUCUUACACUGUUAAUGUGAGCAGCUUCUGUCCUCCUCUGCAGGUGAGUAAAUCUGUCAGUUGUGUUUAA
rnacentral:lncRNA from 1 species